rnacentral:lncRNA from 1 species
GGUCAAUAUUACCAUGUUGAAAAAAAUGAUGGUGACUUGGAAUGCUAUGGAUGAUGGGGUUAUGUUUUUUAUUUGGACCUGAUGGGGAUUGUUUUAAAAUACGGUCAAUAUUACCAUGUUGAAAAAAAUGAUGGUGACUUGGAAUGCUAUGGAUGAUGGGGUUAUGUUUUUUAUUUGGGCCUGAUGGGGAUGGUUUUAAAAUACGGCCAAUAUUACCAUGUUGAAA